GAUGAACGCUGGCGGCGUGCCUAAUACAUGCAAGUCGAGCGAACCACUUCGGUGGUGAGCGGCGAACGGGUGAGUAACACGUAGGUGAUCUGCCCAUCAGCCGGGGACAACGAUUGGAAACGAUCGCUAAUACCGGAUAGGACGAAAGUUUAAAGGUGCUUCUGGCACCGCUGAUGGAUGAGCCUGCGGCGCAUUAGCUAGUUGGUAGGGUAAAGGCCUACCAAGGCGACGAUGCGUAGCCGACGUGAGAGGGUGAACGGCCACACUGGGACUGAGACACGGCCCAGAAUCCUACGGGAGGCAGCAGUAGGGAAUCUUCGGCAAUGGGCGAAAGCCUGACCGAGCAACGCCGCGUGAAUGAUGAAGGCCUUCGGGUUGUAAAAUUCUGUUAUAAGGGAAGAACGACUUUAGUAGGAAAUGGCUAGAGUGUGACGGUACCUUAUGAGAAAGCCACGGCUAACUACGUGCCAGCAGCCGCCGUAA
rnacentral:rRNA from 1 species